CAAUAGCGUAUAUUAAAGUUGUUGCGGUUAAAAAGCUCGUAGUUGGAUUUCUGCUGAGAACGACCGGUCCGCCCUUUGGGUGUGUAUCUGGCUCUUUCUUGGCAUCUUCUUGGUGAACGUUGCUGCACUUGACUGUGUGGAGCGCUACCCAGGACUUUUACUUUGAGGAAAUUAGAGUGUUUCAAGCAGGCAUACGCCUUGAAUACAUUAGCAUGGAAUAAUAAGAUAGGACCUCGGUUCUAUUUUGUUGGUUUCUAGAGCUGAGGUAAUGAUUAAUAGGGAUAGUUGGGGGCAUUCGUAUUUAACUGUCAGAGGUGAAAUUCUUGGAUUAGUUAAAGACGGACUACUGCGAAAGCAUUUGCCAAGGAUGUUUUCAUUGA
rnacentral:rRNA from 1 species